UGGGGAAUUUUUCGCAAUGGGGGAAACCCUGACGAAGCAACGCCGCGUGGAGGAUGAAGGCCUUCGGGUCGUAAACUCCUGUCGACCGGGACGAACGUAGUCUGGCCCAAUACGCCGGGCUAUCGACUGUACCGGUGGAGGAAGCCACGGCUAACUCUGUGCCAGCAGCCGCGGUAAUACAGAGGGUGCAAGCGUUAAUCGGAAUUACUGGGCGUAAAGCGCGCGUAGGCGGUUGUAUAAGCUGGAUGUGAAAUCCCUGGGCUUAACCUAGGCACUGCAUUCAAAACUGUACAGCUAGAGUGUAGGAGAGGAAGGUAGAAUUCCAGGUGUAGCGGUGAAAUGCGUAGAGAUCUGGAGGAAUACCGAUGGCGAAGGCAGCCUUCUGGCCUAACACUGACGCUGAGGUGCGAAAGCAUGGGGAGCAA
rnacentral:rRNA from 1 species